rnacentral:rRNA from 1 species
UACGUAGGAGGCGAGCGUUGUCCGGAUUUACUGGGCGUAAAGCGCGCGCAGGCGGACUGAUCAGUCUGGGGUGAAAUCUCACGGCUCAACUGUGAGCGGUCCCUGGAUACUGUCAGUCUUGAGAUGUCUAGAGGAGAGCGGAAUUCCCGGUGUAGUGGUGGAAUGCGUAGAUAUCGGGAAGAACACCAGUGGCGAAAGCGGCUCUCUGGGGACCAUCUGACGCUGAGGCGCGAAAGCGUGGGGAGCGAACCGG